rnacentral:rRNA from 1 species
UCCGGAGCUAACGCGUUAAAUCGACCGCCUGGGGAGUACGGCCGCAAGGUUAAAACUCAAAUGAAUUGACGGGGGCCCGCACAAGCGGUGGAGCAUGUGGUUUAAUUCGAUGCAACGCGAAGAACCUUACCUACUCUUGACAUCCAGAGAACUUAGCAGAGAUGCUUUGGUGCCUUCGGGAACUCUGAGACAGGUGCUGCAUGGCUGUCGUCAGCUCGUGUUGUGAAAUGUUGGGUUAAGUCCCGCAACGAGCGCAACCCUUAUCCUUUGUUGCCAGCGGUUCGGCCGGGAACUCAAAGGAGACUGCCAGUGAUAAACUGGAGGAAGGUGGGGAUGACGUCAAGUCAUCAUGGCCCUUACGAGUAGGGCUACACACGUGCUACAAUGGCGUAUACAAAGAGAAGCGACCUCGCGAGAGCAAGCGGACCUCAUAAAGUACGUCGUAGUCCGGAUUGGAGUCUGCAACUCGACUCCAUGAAGUCGGAAUCGCUAGUAAUCGUAGAUCAGAAUGCUACGGUGAAUACGUUCCCGGGCCUUGUACACACCGCCCGUCACACCAUGGGAGUGGGUUGCAAAAGAAGUAGGUAGCUUAACCUUCGGGAGGGCGCUUACCACUUUGUGAUUCAUGACUGGGGUGAAGUCGUAACAAGGUAACCGUAGGGGAACCUGCGGUUGGAUCACCUCCUUACCUAAAGA